UACGUAGGGUGCGAGCGUUUGUCCGGAUUUAUUGGGCGUAAAGGGCUCGUAGGCGGUCUGUCACGUCGGCUGUGAAACCCGAGGCUCAACCUCGGGCCUGCAGUCGAUACGGGCAGGCUAGAGUUCGGUAGGGGAGACUGGAAUUCCUGGUGUAGCGGUGAAAUGCGCAGAUAUCAGGAGGAACACCGGUGGCGAAGGCGGGUCUCUGGGCCGAUACUGACGUGGAGGCACGAAAGCGUGGGGAGCAAACAGG
rnacentral:rRNA from 1 species